rnacentral:rRNA from 1 species
AUUGAACGCUGGCGGCAUGCCUUACACAUGCAAGUCGAACGGUAACGCGGGGCAACCUGGCGACGAGUGGCGAACGGGUGAGUAAUACAUCGGAACGUGCCCAGUAGUGGGGGAUAGCCCGGCGAAAGCCGGAUUAAUACCGCAUACGACCUACGGGUGAAAGCAGGGGAUCGCAAGACCUUGCGCUAUUGGAGCGGCCGAUGUCAGAUUAGGUUGUUGGUGGGGUAAAAGCCUACCAAGCCGACGAUCUGUAGCUGGUCUGAGAGGACGACCAGCCACACUGGGACUGAGACACGGCCCCAGACUCCUACGGGAGGCAGCAGUGGGGAAUUUUGGACAAUGGGCGCAAGCCUGAUCCAGCCAUGCCGCGUGCGGGAAGAA